CUGACUGCGUGAACUGAACUAAUAGACUGGAGUGAUCUUUUUGAUGUUUUGCUCAGAAUAUUGUUGGUCCUUUGUUUGCUUUUCAGAGUCAAAGAGGCUUUUCUUUUGAGCUAUCAACAGGUUUUGACAGUUUGGUGUGCUCCCAUGAAUAAAAUUUGAGGCAUGCUUAUCUCUCUCUGCCUGGUUUUCUCCAGAGUCUGGAAACUACCUCUGGAGAUCACUAAAACCUAAGCUGUGCUUUCUUGAAGCCCUGUGAGCUGAAAAUUAGAUGUUUCAGUGGGCGCUGCCUCUGGGCCUCUGAGGCAGAGAGUGCUACCCGGAACAAAUCGACCUCUUCCACUCCAGCACCACGUUCAGUGUCCCAUAACGACAAUCCUCUCUCAGCAGGAAGUAGCCAGAAAGAGCACGUCACCCCUCAUCCUUUUAUAACUAUAGGGUGUGGAUUGACAAAGCAGGAGCAUCACCAUUUUGGACAAACACCAGCAUUUUAAGUUCCCCUUGAUUAAAAACCGCCUAAAUCCAGCCCCCAAAAAAUCAGCCUAAUGGCUAAUGUCAGCAUGACCAUAAACCACAAAUGACACCUCCAAUCAGAAAUAUUCCAACCCUGAGAUAAAGCGCCCUCCGACCAGAAACAUUCCUACUCCGAAAUCAAACUCUCCUCUGACCAGAAACAUUUCAAACCUGCGAUAAGCUCUCCCUCCCUAAACCCUUAAAUACCCUUAGUCUGUAAGAGAGAGUGCUCCUGACAGCAAUCAGCCAGAAGCCCCUCUCAGGUUUAUUCUCCAAAAUAAACCUGUCUUGGACUGUUGA